GACAGAGGGUGCAAACGUUGCUCGGAAUUAUUGGGCGUAAAGCGCACGUAGGCGGUUCGUUAAGUCGGAUGUGAAAGCCCUCGGCUCAACUGAGGAAGUGCACCCGAAACUGGCGAGCUUGAGUACGAAAGAGGAUCGCGGAAUUCCCGGUGUAGAGGUGAAAUUCGUAGAUAUCGGGAGGAACACCGGUGGCGAAGGCGGCGAUCUGGGUCGAUACUGACGCUGAGGUGCGAAAGCGUGGGGAGCAAACAGG
rnacentral:rRNA from 1 species